AUUGAACGCUGGCGGCAGGCCUAACACAUGCAAGUCGAACGGUAACAGGAAACAGCUUGCUGUUUCGCUGACGAGUGGCGGACGGGUGAGUAGUGUCUGGGAAACUGCCUGAUGGAGGGGGAUAACUACUGGAAACGGUAGCUAAUACCGCAUAACGUCGCAAGACCAAAGAGGGGGACCCUCGGGCCUCUUGCCAUCGGAUGUGCCCAGAUGGGAUUAGCUUGUUGGUGGGGUAACGGCUCACCAAGGCGACGAUCCCUAGCUGGUCUGAGAGGAUGACCAGCCACACUGGAACUGAGACACGGUCCAGACUCCUACGGGAGGCAGCAGUGGGGAAUAUUGCACAAUGGGCGCAAGCCUGAUGCAGCCAUGCCGCGUGUAUGAAGAAGGCCUUCGGGUUGUAAAGUACUUUCAGCGGGGAGGAAGGGAGUAAAGUUAAUACCUUGGCUCAUUGACGUUACCCGCAGAAGAAGCACCGGCUAACUCCGUG
rnacentral:rRNA from 1 species